CUCCAUUAUUAUUAUUAGUGACUGUCUGGUUAAAAGCCACUAGAAGUUGAUGUAAACAUUGCAGUUUCUCUGAAACCACAAUGUUUUACAUUGCAGGGUUUAGGGAACAGGGACACGGUACCCAGUUCACUUUAGUGAAGUGGCCUGGGUGCCAAUACUGUUAAUUUAAAAGGGAAAGAAUAUCAUUUGGUUUACAUAUAUUUAGGAACACUGGUUCUAAGAAAAUGGUUUUAGAUCUUGAAGAAUAGGCAUCCCUUUGCUCUAAAGGGGGGAAACCUUGCACUAAUACUAUUCCGGGGACUGGGCAUUGCUCAAAAUGGCUU